UAUUUAAUUAUCUCCCAUUCCACUGUUCUUCACAAAGUAGGAACAUCUAAGAAUCUUCCCCAGGAUAGCUUCUUCUUGGGAUUCUGAAAGAGACAACUCCCCUCAAUUUACAUUCUGGAACUCCAAUCACAGUUGGUAGACUGUGCUGGGCUUAGCCCGUUGUUUUGCGAAUGGAGUAGUGAUCUUUUCAAUACAUCCCAGAUCCCAGCUUUUGAUUUUUUGGAGGAGUGUCUUGAUUGUUUUUAGUUUUACUGGAGAUUCUUGUGAUGGGAAGAACUACGAACUUAUUGAGUCCUGUUGGUAUCUCCGACUUUACUAUAAACUCCAAUUCAUCCUUUAGGGCUUUCCUAGCAGUAAGUUGAUGAACUCGUCUGAUUUUCUCAUCUUCUUUUACAUAGAUUUUCAUUGGAUCAAGUUUCUCUGACUCAUUCAAAACAUGAGGAAACUCUGGAAAAAUGGACUCGACAUUCAUAAUUUGCGGGUCCCUCAAAGAGUUUUGGUUACAGAAUUACAUAUAAUUGUUUCUAGAAAAUAUUUUGGAAUAACGUUAAGUGACGCUAAAUCAUGCCACGAAAGGAUAUUUUCACUUGCACCUGUAUUCGGGAGUGCUCUCAUAUAUUGUAAGACGGGGAGUGGAGUGCUUAAUGGAUGAUGUACUAUUAACAAUGCUUGAGGCUGUUUCUACAGGGCUAGAAUUUCUCGUUGUCCUUGAGUGAGAUUUGGAUUCUGAAUCAUAAUUCUGAUCAUCUACAAAAAACAAAAAACAUGACUUGUUCUCACACAUUUUGUUACAUGUGCUGUUUCGGAAUCUACACUCGGAGCGGUGGUGGUUGUCUCUUCUGCAACUGAAACAUCUACCAUGCUGACAAGGCAUUAAUAUUAAUGUAAACCAAUGUAUCUUGGAGAACGUCUGCAGACUCCCAUGCAGUGGCUACAUUUACAAGUCAUAGCUAAUGAGUUCUCAUAGCUGGAAAUCUAUCACAAUUUACUUGGUAAUCUGAGAAGGGUUCGGUUCGAAAUUUUAU
rnacentral:lncRNA from 1 species